AGCAGCCGCGGUAAUUCCAGCUCCAAUAGCGUAUAUUAAAGUUGUUGCAGUUAAAAAGCUCGUAGUUGAAUUUCGGGGUCAGUAGGUCGGUCGUGCCACUGGUAUGAACUGGUUUUACUGAUUCCUCCCUCUUGAAGAACUGUAAUGCCAUUAAUUUGGUGUUGCAGGGAAUCAGGACUGUUACUUUGAAAAAAUUAGAGUGUUUAAAGCAGGCUUUAGCUUGAAUACAUUAGCAUGGAAUAAUGAAAUAGGACGUUUGAUCCUAUUUUGUUGGUUUCUAGGAUUGACGUAAUGAUUAAUAGGGAUAGUUGGGGGCAUUAGUAUUCAAUUGUCAGAGGUGAAAUUCUUGGAUUUAUUGAAGACCAACUACUGCGAAAGCAUUUGCCAAGGGUGUUUUCAUUAAUCAAGAACGAAAGUUAGGGGAUCGAAGACGAUCAGAUACCGUCGUAGUCUUAACCAUAAACUAUGCCGACUAGGGAUCGGAUGAUGUUAAUUUUUUAAUGACUCAUUCGGGCGCCUUACG
rnacentral:rRNA from 1 species